rnacentral:rRNA from 1 species
GAUGAACGCUGGCGGCGUGUCUAAGGCAUGCAAGUCGAACGGACUGUUAUUUGUAGCAAUACUUAGAACAGUUAGUGGCAAACGGGUGCGUAACACAUUGGUAACCUGCCUCAAAGUCGGGCAUAAUCCCGCGAAAGUGGGACUAAUUCCACGAUGGUCAUCGAAGGUGAGAUUCCUUCGAUGUAAAGUCGCAAGACGCUUUGAGAGGGGCCUAUGGCCUAUCAGCUUGUUGGUGAGGUAACGGCUCACCAAGGCUAUGACGGGUAGGGGGUGUGAGAGCACGACCCCCCUCACUGGGACUGAGACACUGCCCAGACACCUACGGGUGGCUGCAGUCGAGAAUAUUCCCCAAUGGCCGAAAGGCUGAGGGAGCGACGCCGCGUGCAGGAAUAA